GCGGGUGUAGCUCAAUGGAAGAGCGCCAGCUUGCCAUGCUGGUUGUUGUGGGUUCGAAUCCCAUCACCCGCUCCA
rnacentral:tRNA from 1 species